AUUGAACGCUGGCGGCACGCCUAACACAUGCAAGUCGAGCGGUAACAUGGUGUGUAGCAAUACACACUGAUGACGAGCGGCGGACGGGUGAGGAAGACGUAGGAAUCUACCUUUUAGAGGGGGACAACCAAGGGAAACUUUGGCUAAUACCGCAUACACUCGAAAGAGGAAAGCUGCCCGCAAGGGUGGCACUAGAAGAGGAGCCUGCGUCCGAUUAGCUAGUUGGUAGGGUAAAAGCCUACCAAGGCGAAGAUCGGUAACUGGUCUGAGAGGACGGCCAGUCACACUGGGACUGAGACACGGCCCAGACUCCUACGGGAGGCAGCAGUGGGGAAUAUUGGACAAUGGGGGCAACCCUGAUCCAGCGAUGCCGCGUGAGUGAAGAAGGCCUUCGGGUCGUAAAGCUCUUUAGGUUGGGAAGAAGGUUGGUUGUUUAAGAGAUGACUAACGUGACGGUACCGACAGAAUAAGCACCGGCAAACUCUGUGC
rnacentral:rRNA from 1 species